rnacentral:rRNA from 2 species
CUUUGGGGUGUGACUGCGUACCUUUUGUAUAAUGGGUCAGCGACUUAUAUUCUGUAGCAAGGUUAACCGUAUAGGGGAGCCGGAGGGAAACCGAGUCUUAACCGGGCGUUAAGUUGCAGGGUAUAGACCCGAAACCCGGUGAUCUAGCCAUGGGCAGGUUGAAGGUUGGGUAACACUAACUGGAGGACCGAACCGACUAAUGUUGAAAAAUUAGCGGAUGACCUGUGGCUGGGGGUGAAAGGCCAAUCAAACCGGGAGAUAGCUGGUUCUCCCCGAAAGCUAUUUAGGUAGCGCCUCGUGAAUUCAUCUCCGGGGGUAGAGCACUGUUUCGGCUAGGGGGCCAUCCCGGCUUACCAACCCGAUGCAAACUGCGAAUACCGGAGAAUGUUAUCACGGGAGACACACGGCGGGUGCUAACGUCCGUCGUGAAGAGGGAAACAACCCAGACCGCCAGCUAAGGUCCCAAAGUCAUGGUUAAGUGGGAAACGAUGUGGGAAGGCCCAGACAGCCAGGAUGUUGGCUUAGAAGCAGCCAUCAUUUAAAGAAAGCGUAAUAGCUCACUGGUCGAGUCGGCCUGCGCGGAAGAUGUAACGGGGCUAAACCAUG